rnacentral:rRNA from 1 species
AUUGAGCGCUGGCGGCAUGCCUUACACAUGCAAGUCGAACGGCAGCACGGGAGCUUGCUCCUGGUGGCGAGUGGCGAACGGGUGAGUAAUACAUCGGAACGUACCCAGGAGUGGGGGAUAACGUAGCGAAAGUUACGCUAAUACCGCAUAUUCUGUGAGCAGGAAAGCGGGGGAUCGCAAGACACCGCGCUCUUGGAGCGGCCGAUGUCGGAUUAGCGAGUUGUUGAGGUAAAAGCUCACCAAGGCGACGAUCCGUAGCAGGUCUGAGAGGAUGAGCUGCCACACUGGGACUGAGACACGGACCAGACUCCUACGGGAGGCAGCAGUGGGGAAUUUUGGACAAUGGGGGCGACCCUGAUCCUGCCAUGCCGCGUGAGUGAAGAAGGCCUUCGUGUUGUAAAGCUCUUUCGGCGGGGAAGAAAUGGCAACGGCUAAUAUCCGUUGUUGAUGACGGUACCCGCAUAAGAAGCACCGGCUAACUACGUGCCAGCAGCCGCAGUAA